UUCCACUUAAGAGUCUGUCAAGGGGAA
rnacentral:piRNA from 1 species